GUGUCAGCAGCCGCGGUAAGACAGAGGGUGCAAACGUUGCUCGGAAUUACUGGGCGUAAAGCGCGUGUAGGCGGGCUGGCGUGUCGGAUGUGAAAUCCCUGGGCUCAACCCAGGAACUGCAUUCGAAACUACCAGUCUAGAGUGGUGGAGAGGGAAGUGGAAUUCCUGGUGUAGAGGUGAAAUUCGUAGAUAUCAGGAGGAACACCAGUGGCGAAGGCGGCUUCCUGGACACCUACUGACGCUGAGACGCGAAAGCGUGGGGAGCAAACAGGAUUAGAAACCCUUGUAGUCC
rnacentral:rRNA from 1 species